GAUCAUCCAUGGAUGGCUUGGAUCGCGGAAGACCAAGGGCCACGGCUCCGGCUUCACGAGACAUCGGACCUCCCCGCUGCUCCCCUCCGCAGGCUGUAGCCAACGCCGAUACCCAUUCUCCUCCCGUGCUCCUCGCGUGGCUCUCCUCCGGCGACCUGGAAUCGGUUCGAGCGGCUACGCUGGGUGUUCAAGGCUUGGUGUGAAGGGCAGAGAGGGGAGCUUGUGGAGAGGGCUUGCUGACGAUGUGCAGCCUGACCUUCGAUGCUGCUCCUCUGCUCCUCCCCACCCCUCCACUCACCGCUGUCACGGACGUACUCCUCACCUCCGCUGCCUCACCUGUCCUGUCCCGUCCCGUCCCGUCUGUGCAAGAGCAAAAGUCGAUGGCACGGCUUGAAGAGGAGGAGCACCAGCAAAAGCAGAGGUGGGCACAGCCGAAGCUCAUCGUAGCGGCAGCGACGACGCGGCAUGCGUAGCGAGAGGUUCCUCCAGGCGUCAGUAGCGGAUGCGGCGGCGGCAACUUGGAGUGGCUCUAGGCCAUCUCAUGAGCUCCAUGUCUGAUGCUAGCUGCUCCGUGUAUUCUACAUACCCAAUCGAUUUUUGUUUUUUUUCCUUUUAUGUGUUAAUGUUCAUGCAUAUCAGCUGUUCGAUGAAAUAGCUAAAGGUAUCCAACUCGCAUUUUUUACCUCACUUUGAUUGGAUUCCAUUUUUCCAUCAAUCUUUGACUUUGCUUUCUUGCAAAUUAUAUAUACUGCUACAACAGAUGCUCUGUAAUUUACACAAUGUUCAAAUAUUUCUGACUCCAAAACAACGAAAUAAUUGCACUUUAAAACUUUCUAAUGUUGGAGUUCAUUUGACAAGAUGAAUUGUUAAUUGUGUGUCAAAAUAAUUUGAGCCUCACCAAUUAUUACUGCAGAUAGCCAUUAUAAGGAAAAAAUCUACUGCUGCUACAAUGAUGUAUGAACAUGAGAAAGCAAGGCAGAUGUUAUUCUAAAGACACCCGUGCUAGGAAAUGGCUGAGCAAACGAGGUCUUGCGGUUUUGUUGUUCUGAAUAGCGGCAAGCUGUGUAAUAUGCUGGUUCACUCAACCAAUAUAUUUAAUAUUACUUGGGAAAUCUACUGCUGCUUCUAAAAAAUGGAUGUAAACAAUAAUCAAUGAAUGGAGAGGUCGUAAGAACAGACUAGCUACAGAAGAUGGAUAUUAUAUCCUGGUGUCUGAAUUACAACAGAAGCUUGCGCAAGUGCCCCAAAGCCUGUAGUUUCACUGCCUCUCUUCAUCGACCAAAAAGAAUCGGAGAUGCAUUGGCAGAGCACUGUCAAACAUGCCCAUCCAACAGCACGGAUAGAUGAUGCACAAUGGGCAGUUUGCUUCUCUUCUAUAUAAGUUUAUAUUUUGUACCAUUCUUCAAAAAGAAAAAAAAAACAAUCAUUUGAUAUCA